GAGCUGGGGACCGAACCCAGGGCCUUGUGCUUGUUAAGCAAGCGCUCUACCACUGAGCUAAAUCCCCAACCCCAUGAGGUCUAUUUCGUAAUAAGUCAUGUCAGAACUCCUAAGAAAACAGCAGUGAGGAGCCCUUGAUUCACAGAACCCCGUCUUCUGUGUCAAAGACCCCAUGAGGCGGAAUUGACCUGAAGGAAUCUGCAUGAAGACUAGCUUUGGCCUUACAAGAAUAUGACAGAUGAGUGCAGUCCUUGACCUCACUAAGAAAACAUCUCAGUAAAGGCCAUUAUACAAAACCACAACCAAUCACGUGCAGAAUUAUGGAUCCUUCUUUAAACAUAUUUAGAAAAUAGCUUUUACCCCUCUGGCUCAUGGAAACAUUCAGAAAACUUGAUUGGAGGAAAUGUGAGAGCUGGAAGAAAAGUUUGACAAGAGAUUUUGACUGCUAAAAAUCUCAAAAUACUGGGUUGUUUAGGAAUCUCCACAGGAAUUCCUUGGCUAAUAAUUCAAAAACAAUACAAUCCAGUUUCACCACUGGGAUCAUUGUCUGUCUAAAAAAUAUGUUCCUCACUAGCUUUACCAGCGUAGAUUGUAAGAAGUGUCCACUGCACCAGGUUUCCACAAUGCCUAUCAAAUU